CUACCCGGGUAUCUAAUCCUGUUUGAUCCCCACGCUUUCGUGCCUCAGUGUCAAUAAAACCAUAGUAAGCUGCCUUCGCAAUUGGUGUUCUGUGACAUAUCUAUGCAUUUCACCGCUACUUGUCACAUUCCGCCUACCUCUAGUUCAUUCAAGCUCUUCAGUAUCAAAGGCACUGCGAUAGUUAAGCUACCGUCUUUCACCCCUGACUUAAAAAGCCACCUACGCACCCUUUAAACCCAAUAAAUCCGGAUAACGCUCGGAUCCUCCGUAUUACCGCGGCUGCUGGCAC
rnacentral:rRNA from 1 species